rnacentral:ncRNA from 1 species
GUAAACAGUAUGAGGGAAAACUUCACGUACGGUUUGAUGAGGGGUUCUUAUAGUUUUCUCAAAAUGAUUACAUUUAUAAUUAUUUAAACUGAGAGAGUUAUCAGGCUCUACUCUAU